rnacentral:lncRNA from 1 species
CUAUUCUCGGAUGCGCAAAGCUGGAAGUCUAACUCAACCGAGCUAGUCAACAUGAUGUGGGAUGAUGUGGCGAUAAAUUAGCACGUAAUUGAGAAAGGUCGGCACGUCUUGAGGUCAACCACAAUUGUUCACUCCCUCUAUUGCUACGAUGCACGGGUCGGACCUCUUCCAAAACCUGCCACUGAAUCCUAAAACAAGUCAACCGAGAUGAAAAAUGUUAGAUCUAUAGUAUAUGAAUUUGUACAAGUUUUGUGAAUCUAUAUAAUCAAGGUACGAAAGUCCGUCAAGUAUGAAACUACAAAUACUUACCAACUGGGACAUAUCAAUUAUAUUGGGAAAAGGACAAAAGGCCAUCAUCUCUAGCUUGAAACUCCUAGUUCCCCAAGACCCAGACGAACUUGUUCAAAUAGAUAUAUUUGUCUAGGGUCUCGAUUACUAGUCUCGUUUGGGGCUGAUGGGAUUUUAGGAGUCAAAGAUAGUGGUUGUAUGGGAGUCUCAUCUCGGGCGCUCUACAUUAUAUACGUGUAACAUAUCCAAGGCGUUGAAAGGCAACCUUUCCCUAAGCAUCAACGCGUCCACCGCAAGCACAGUUCGGAUGAAGUUGACGGACACUUGCAUGAAGGUGAGCCAACACCAAGCCAUACCCUCCUUCAGCAUCGAACUUACUGGGAACCUAAGGCCCACUUGGUGAAUCAACAAGUGCGGACUAGGAUGCAGUUUCCAUUUCCCUCCACUGUAUUGGCAUACUCUCUGGGCCCUGGCUUCUUAAUCAAAACGUCAUUUGGAAUAUCAUGGUCUCUACUAAACUUUUUCAUUGAAGUAUCGUCAUGCGCUAAUAGCUGAGCUCGGUUUAACUCCGUACUCUGAAAACAGAAACAGCACAGUAAGAACGAGCUCAACUAAGUAAUGACGGGCAAUUAGGCGUUGAGCUAGCCGAGCUUUCUGCGAGCCACGAGCUCUAGUCACAAGGUUCAAUAUUUGGGGAGAGUUAGUCGAGCUACCCGCAAGCUCUGAACUCUACUCAUGAGGCAUAUUUAUAUUUUACUAAGGGACUUCUCAAUCCCUCCUAUCACCUUAAACCAAUCUCAGCAGCAAAAAGACUUGAGGGGCAAAACCCAAACUUUACAAGGCAGAUUUCCAACAAAUUUUCAACACAACUAGUCCAUCAAAAAUUACGGUCGCUGCUAAGACACGUUUUAGCAGGGGAAACGGGCCAUGGGCAUGCAACUCGAAUCAGAACCUCAGAAAGC